rnacentral:tRNA from 1 species
AGGGAGACCUACCCAGUUGUAAGAUUGCUCGCCCUAGGGAUGUGCAAUCGCAACAGGUCAACCAGGUCGUUCGGGUGGGUUAUGUAGAGCUUGGCUUUCAGACGGUCUAGGGCAAGGGCAAAUGGGCUAUUAGCUCAGGUGGUUAGAGCGCACCCCUGAUAAGGGUGAGGUCCCUGGUUCGAGUCCAGGAUGGCCCACCAUUGAACGGGGGUAUGGCUCAGUUGGUAGAGCGCCUGCUUUGCACGCAGGAUGUCAGCGGUUCGAGUCCGCUUACCUCCACUCCUGCCCGAGAGCCAAACAAAAUUGCUCCGGUUUAAGAUGACAGCAACCAACAAUCGUAGACAGUGGACGAUUGAGGACUGCUGGAAUUUUACUUCCGGCAUCAGAACCUUGAAAACUGCAUAGCAACAAAUAGAUUUUCUGUCAGGUAAAGAAUCAUGGAUUGAAUCAGCGAGUAGCUGCAAUUCGUGAUACACAGACACCAAGAAAAAGCGCGAAAU